GAUCAUGGCUCAGGAUGAACGCUAGCGACAGGCUUAACACAUGCAAGUCGAGGGGCAGCAAUUUGUAGCAAUACAAAGUUGGCGACCGGCGCACGGGUGAGUAACGCGUAUGCAACCUACCCACAACAGAAGAAUAAUCCGGCGAAAGUCGGUCUAAUACUUCAUAAAACAGGGACACCGCAUGGUGUUAUUUGUUAAAGAUUUAUCGGUUGUGGAUGGGCAUGCGUACCAUUAGGUAGUUGG
rnacentral:rRNA from 1 species